rnacentral:pre_miRNA from 1 species
GUGGCUGCUGCUCCCCUUCGAUCCCACUGAUCCCACUGCUGCCACCAUUAUUGCUGCUGUCCAGCAGGUGCUGCUGGUGGUGAUGGUGGUAGUCUGGCGGGGGCGGCGGGGCUGCUU